ACUCAAAUGAAUUGACGGGGGCCCGCACAAGCGGUGGAGCAUGUGGAUUAAUUCGUCACUAACCGAAGAACCUUACCCAGGUUUGACAUCUGUAGAACCCUGCUGAAAGGCGGGGGUGCCUUCGGGAGCUACAAGACAGGUGUUGCAUGGCUGUCGUCAGCUCGUGUCGUGAGAUGUUGGGUUAAGUCCCGCAACGAGCGCAACCCUCACCGUAUGUUGCCAGCGUAAAGUCGGGAACUCUUACGGAACUGCCCGUGCAAGCGGGAGGAAGGUGGGGAUGACGUCAAGUCGGCAUGGCCCUUACGCCUGGGGCUUCACACAUGCUACAAUGGGUGGCAACAAAGGGCAGCAAAACCGCGAGGUCAAGCGAAUCCCAAAAAUCCAUCCUCAGUUCGGAUUGCAGGCUGCAACUCGCCUGCAUGAAGCCGGAAUCGCUAGUAACCGCAGGUCAGCUAAACUGCGGUGAAUACGUUCCCGGGCCUUGCACACACCGCCCGU
rnacentral:rRNA from 1 species